rnacentral:tRNA from 1 species
GGGGCUGUAGCUCCAUGGUAGAGCACUUGCUUGGUAUGCAGGAGGCCCCAGGUCCUCUCCCAGCACCA